rnacentral:rRNA from 1 species
AACGAACGCUGGCGGCGCGCUUAACACAUGCAAGUCGAACGAAGUUCUUGUUUUCGGAUGAGAUACUUAGUGGCGCACGGGUGAGUAACGCGUGGGAACCUGCCCUUUGCUACGGAACAACCACGGGAAACUGUGGCUAAUACCGUAUAAUGCUGCGACGUAAGUUGUAGCCAAAGAUUUAUCGGCGAAGGAGGGGCCCGCGUUAGAUUAGCUUGUUGGUGGGGUAACGGCCUACCAAGGCUUCGAUCUAUAGCUGGUCUGAGAGGACGAUCAGCCACACUGGGACUGAGACACGGCCCAGACUCCUACGGGAGGCAGCAGUGGGGAAUCUUGGACAAUGGGGGCAACCCUGAUCCAGCGACGCCGCGUGGAUGAAGAAGGCCUUAGGGUUGUAAAGUCCUUUCACCGGGGAGGAUGAUGACGUUACCCGGAGAAGAAGCACCGGCUAACUCCG